UGAAAUGAGAGAAGAGAGAAGACGGAGAGAUUUAUAGGAGAGGGAAGAAGAAGGAAAAAAAAA
rnacentral:sRNA from 1 species